AUUUUACGUAAUUAUUUAUGACUAUUUAAUUAUUGUGAAUGUUUAUUUAAUUAGUUUUCACAUUUUUAUUUUAUAAUACCUAAGUUAAUUUUAUUUUUGUUAUUGUUAUUGUUGUUAAUUUUAUCUUCAUUGAUGAUUAGAAUAUGGCAACCAACAUAUACAACUAUUAUUAUGAGGUGAGCGGCCGUGGCGGCCGUGGUGACCGUGGCGGCGGUGGUGGCCGUGGUGGCCGUGGCGGCGGUGGUGGCCGUGGCGGCGGUGGUGGCCGUGGUGGCCGUGGCGGCGCUGGUAGAAAAGUUAGGAGCAAGUGCAACAUAUGUUUAAAUAGGGGCCAUUAUGCUGCUGACUGCGCUUUAAAGCGCAGUCAGCAGCAUCAAACCCCCCCCCCGCGGCCAAAGGAGCAGUGGCCGCAGCAGCAGCAGCAGCUGCAAAGGCGGCAGCGGCAGUGGCAGCGGCAGCAGUAGCCAAACGUGCCAAAGCCAAAUGGCUUGAGGCCGAGGCUGCUGCUGCUGCUGAAGCUGCAGCUGCUGAGGCUGCAGCUGCUGAGGCUGCUGCUGGCACUAUGGAUGGCCAGGAAGAUGAUGCUACAGAAACAAUUAAGGAGUAAGUAUUCAACGACCCAUAUCAAUGUCUAUGUAUUGUAUAAAAUUCGUUAUUACAUUGUUUUGUUUUAUAUUUUUAUUUCAGCCAAUAAACGUUUUAACUUAACAGACAA